rnacentral:lncRNA from 1 species
CUUCUCAUCCUUACGUGCAUAUUCGUUUAAAUCACCCACAUAAGGUGACUUCAUACCCAUAUAAUCAAUAUUUUAAAUUGUUUUAAAUUCUUUUAAAGGGGGGGGGGGNNNNNNNNNNNNNNNNNNNNNNNNNNNNNNGGGGAAUACAAGUUGAACACAAUGAUAAUUGUGUAAAUGUUUGUUAUAAACAUCUUUCAAAAGAUUACUUAUGUCUUUUAUAAGUGAUUCAAAACGUUUCAAAAGCUCUUUUUAAGUUAUGUUACUUUAUAGUUUAUAAAACUCCAUUUUUAAAGUACAAUUAUAACUUAGUAAAUAAAUGAGUCAUUUCAAUAACAGUUCAAGUAAACAUACUAGUAAACUAUAAUGGGUAUAGUAUAAGGGUUCAGUUCAUACUAGAUGCUAGAACAUACUAUAAAGAGAAUCAGGGAGGUAGAUACAAUAUAUGAUAACAUAUGGAUCAUACAAUAAAGAGAAAUAAGGAGGAAGAAAUAAUACAUGAUAACAGAAAGAACACACUAAGACACUAUAUCAGAAAGAACAUACUAAAUGCUAUAGCAGGAGAACAAUACAAGAUUUAACUAUACCAAAAAUCACUAACUCAUUGUUCUAAACAAAAGGUGAUAGUAAUUGGGUAUACAUGAUUAUAUAACUUUAAUGUGAAUUUACGCGGCAUAGCAAUUUGUUUGCAGAAGUCGUGUUUGGUCCCCAGAAUCUCUUGUAGGGAGAGCGUAUAUUAUGGGUACUAUCCAUCACAUUAUGACCUUAAUAAAACAAACAUGUUUUAAACGUAAUCAGUACGCGCGUCAGGAUGCCAAUUCAAAAGACAGCUGUGUACUUACAUUUUCCCAUUACUUUCAUAUUGUGACAAAUCCACUUGAAAGUUAAUGAAAACUGUUUUAGACUUAGGAUAGUUAUAAACUAGGCGAAACUCACAUUUUACAAAUGACAAACAGAUUAGUCAAGUCUAGUACAUUCAGUAGAAAGGGGGCCUAUAAUGCUGACUUUAUGAUCCCUUAGUGUAUACAUCAGAGAUAUAUAUAUAUAUAUAUAUANUAUAUUAAUCGGAUCCGACAGACAGUAGGAUAUGUGCUUUCCGCUUCAUUUCAUGUUCCUUGUUUGGUUCUUGGCUUAGAGCAGAUUCACCCAGCCUACUGUCUAUUCGAUCUUAGCUUUAUAUAUAUUCUGUACACACCAAAUAAUCAUAAGGAGUACCAGGUAUGGCCCAUGUCAUAGGGCACUAAUUCAAUGCACCGUUUUCUAGUACAAAACAUACUUUUCAAUUAACAUUUGAUAUACGAAACUAGAAACUUACCAGUAACAGGGUUUAAUCCAUUUUAUUAAACCAGUAUAAACUGAAAGGACCUUAGGUGGUUAACUCUAUAAUACCUUAAUUUAGACAUCAAGGUUAUAUAUAAUUAAUUACCAAAUAAGUAGUUGGAUGUGUGUUUUCCGCCUCAUUUCCUGUUCCUUGUUUGGUUGUGGGAUUAGGGCAAAUUCACACAAUUAACUAUUUAUUCGAUAUUAGAGUAUAUAUAGCUAGUAUAAAACUAAGUGAUUAUAGAAAGAACCACUGUGGUUACCAAUUUUUACUAAAAGAAAUAAGGGUUUUUCUUAAGGAAUCCUUUCAUUAAAUAUAAAGGAACUAUUACAGUUAACUCCGUGAGUACCAAGUGAAUACACCAGGGUUAUAUACCACGAAGAUCUAACAAACAAUGGGAUGUGUGCUUUCCCCCUCAUUUCCUGUUCCUUGUUUGGUUGUGGGCUUAGGGCAGAUACACACAACCGAUUGUUUGUUUGCUCAAGGUUUUAUAUAACUUGUAUCCAUUUAGUACUCAUAAAAAGGAUUGUAGAGUCAUUUUUACUUAUCUUUCAUCAAAGCAGGAAAUAUAGGAUUUUCUGGAGGAAUAGGCGAACUUUUCUAAACAAAACUUACAACUUUCUACAACUUACGUCACUAAAAUCUUAUGAACUCACCAGCUUAAAUGUUGAUCUACUCUUUCAAAAUAACUUGUACUCUCAGGAGACCAGUAGACAGGUACACGCACUAGGAUUCAAAAGUUUAAGCAGUAUAGCUUCAAGUCUGGUUUUGUUAUUUACAUUGUAGUCUAUGUUUUGAGAACCACAUACUAUGUAAACACUUUCUUUUUAAUGAAAUGGUUGUUUAUUACUGUGAUUACUAUGAUGCAUGACUUGUGAUACUAAAACAUGACGUCCUCUGUCCUCGAACGUUUCUGUCGUUCCAUUUUGGGGUGUGACAGUUGUGGUGCUUGUAACAAUAACAUCUCCAAAUUCUCAAUCUGUUUUAGCAUUUUAUCAUUAGUUAAACACUUUCCAACCUUUACCAAGCUAUAUAUAUAUGUNUAUAUAUAUAUAUAUAUAUAUAUAUAUAUAUAUAUAUUAGUUAGUUGUGUUUAAUUUUACCAUAAUGUGACCAAGGUCAUCCAGAUCUAACUCUUCCAUGAUAAACUCGGCGUAUUCGUCUGCUUGGUUCCAAAUAUUCGAUAACUUGUUUGUUGAAGCACUAAGGCUAAUAAUUUGAAUCAUAUGGCUAUAGAAUAUCAAUAAUUAUUUGAACAAAAAUAUUCUAAUCUACCGCCCUUAAAGGCUUAAAAUUAUUUUCAUCUUUAUCUUGCUUUGGACAAAAAUAAAUACAUAACCUAGACCUUUCCGACAUCGUCUUCUAUGAUCCUACCAUUUGCGUCUUUAUCAAUCCUGCAUUUAUUUCAUAUGACUCCCACAUAACAUAAAUAAUUAGUGAUUAAAAUAAAUAGUAAAUCCUCACAUGUCAAAGAAUGUCUGUAGCCUUGUGUCUAAACUCCGAUCAAAUAUUUGGCUCCAAAACUCGUACAUUUGAUCUCUGUAAAUCGAGUCACCGUUUAUGUUCCUCCUUAGAGAUAAUGCAUCAAAAAGCACCUCAACGAAGUCUUGAGAAUCUUUGUUCAUUCCUAGUAAAUUAAUAUAAAAUAAAUUGACUGGCCCUACUUAUUGAAAAUAUUAAGAACAAACGUGCAUGGUUGGAGUUAUUGAUUACCAAUGCUUUCCCAAAAACGCGAUCGUGGCAGUAAGCCAUUGGUAUCCUUGGUGAGAUCAUCAAAUCAGUUCAGCAAGGAGACCCACGUCAUACCUUCCUCCUUCUUGCUAAUGAACUUAAGCCCCUUGAAAGGGACGAACUUAAUCCUAUUAAAUAAUAGACCACCCAUGGGUUUCCCUUUCGUCAACGGCUUCAACUAUUUAGACACUGCAACUAAGCCAUCGAUAUUCUACCACCGAUUCAUCACUACCAUCCAAAGUGAUUCAAUGUGGUCGUCAAUUUCAGAGUUCAUGUUAACACCCACAGCCUCGGAAUGAUCAUGGAGCAUGUUAUUCUCUGGCAAUCCAGUUCUUCCAUAUAUCAUCGGUACACAUGUUUUGCAUUUGCUUCCAAAAUACAAAACAGAUCAAAUUGAAAAUCACAAGGGGGUACAUUAAUUAAUACGAUAGAGACAAAUGUGAAGAACGAAGUCGGAGUUUAAGCAACUUUUGUAAAACAUAAAGGUUACUACUUAAAAAUAAAUCAAUUUCAAUGCAUAUUACUUACAAAUAAUCUUUAACCGGUAGCAAUAUUCGAUGUUCAUCAUUAUGAUUACGCUUCUUCUUUUUUUGCAUAUUGUUUUCAUUGAAAUAACACGAUUUUCAAUAUAAACAAUGCAUAACAUCAAAUGCAAAUCAGAACAUCAUAUGAUAGAAGCGCGAAGAUACAUAUAUAUAUCAGUUAGUAAAAGAAAAUGUAACAUUCGGAUUUUCAGGGUUAUUAUUUAAGUUAAUCUUAUGAUUUAAGGAAAGACUCGACGAGUUGAGGGUCCAACUCGCCGAGUCGAGUCGGGUUUCUCUCGCGGGUUAUUGAGUGAACUCGACGAGUCAGAGGAGGGACUCGCCGAGUAGGAGCUGGGCAGAGGAACCCUGAUUUUCGGGGUUUGGGACCUAUUUAAAGGCACUUAUUGCCUCCUUGACCCCUCCCCAUCAGAGUCUUUUUCCCUUGAGAGAAACCCUAGAGUGAUUGGUGAUCUAUAGAAGAAAUUGGCUAAUUGGAGGUCAUUCCUUGGAAAGGAAGAGCAAGGGUUUUGCAAGGAUCUCAGAGGAGAGUUAGAGGAUCAGGUUCAUCUUCAUUGCAAGCUCCAGAUCUGGUACAAACUCUUCCCUUCUUUGUGUUUGUGUAGAUUUCCUUGGUUAAUUAAGUUAGGGCUUGAAUCACAAUUUAGACAGGGUUGUGGGUGCAUCCAAACCCUUUUUCGAGUCAUGUGUAGAUCUGGACCUUGUGAGGUCCAGGGAACCAGAAAGUAGGCAACCAUGAAAGAGUUGUUUGGGAGCUUUAAAGCUAUGGAGAUUCAAUGGAGUCCAAAUGGUGUAUUGAGCAAAAUACACCAUGCAUGAGCCUCAAGUUCAGACCUUUAUGUGACUUUUGAGUAGUAGGAGGUUAGAUCUAUGAGUUUGGGUUGCAGAUCGGACCUUGGAUGGCUGAAUGAGCAAUCUGUUGGAGCCAACUCGCCGAGUCCAUGAGAUGACUCGACGAGUCGUAGUGGGUUUGACCGAGUAGCCUUAACCCAGUGUUGGAUCACCAAUUUAGGGGUCAACUCAAUGAGCUGAGUGAGACUCGGUUAUAGUUCAGAUGAUGCGAGGGGACUCGACGAGUCGCAAGGAUGCACUCGACGAGUAGGGUCGAGUGUGGACUGUUGACUUGAGUUGACUUCUAUUGACUUUGGAGUUUUGGUCAACAUAAGUAAUAGAGACCAUGGAGGGGUAAAAUGGUCUUUUACCCACUUCCCGAUUAGAGAGGGAAAAAGUAACUGUCGGUUUAAUUAGAGUUGAUAUUUCUAGUGUUAAUUAGAGAUAUUUGCCCUAUGUGUUAGGCGGUGGCGAGUUCGAGAUUCAAGUGUGAAGAUAACUGCUUUUUGCUUGUCAGGUGAGUCUUCUCACUAUACAUUACCUAGAGUGGUAUCUAUGUGUAGACCGGAGGGUCUUGUGUGCUAUGUGUAUGUAUGAGACUAUGUGCAUUGUAAUAUAUGUAUGUUAUGUGAUUGUAUAGACCGGACCGGAGGGUCCAACGAUAUAGACCGGACCGAAGGGUCCAACGAUACAGACUGGGCCGAAGGGUCCAACGAGCUAUGACAGGACCAGAGGGUCCAACGAGCUACGUGACUGGAGGGUCCCGCUAAGACACAUCGAUCGGAGGGUCGUACUAUAGUCUAUAGUGGCGUAUGUGGUAUUUUGGGGAACUCACUAAGCUUCGUGCUUACCGUGUUAUGUGUUAUGUGUUUCAGGUUUUUCUCAGGAUCAUGGGAUGACACCGGCUUGAUUAUACACACCAGAGGAAGAGUUAUGUUUUUGAGGAUCCUGGAUUAUUAUUUAGUUGAAUAUGUAGUUAUGUUUUGUAAUUUAAACAAAAUGAUGUUUUUACAAAAAAGUGUUUUAAGAAUUAAGCGAUUUUAAAUGAAAAUUUUUAGUUUGAAAAAUUACGGUGCUACAAGUUGGUAUCAGAGCCUUGGUUUGAGGGAUUCGGAUGCACCUUCGGGUAAAUCUGGACUCAAACUGAGGAUUUAAGAAAGUUUUCAAAAGAAGUAAAUUUCUAAAAACGAGCAAGAGUUUCUAAGAGAAUAACGAGAAGGAGUAGUGUGUACAAUCAGCCAAAGCCCGAACGGUGAUUUCCCAAAAUACUCUUACUUUUGUGUUAUGAGAUAUGUUAUGAGACAUCAUGCAUGCUAGAGAUAGGCUUGGUAGUUCAUAUUUUAGGACUAGAGAAGCCUAAUCUGUGAUGCCUUAGCCUAGGAGUUGCUGUUAUAUGUGAAGCACUUUCGAGUAUUUAUUGAGUGAGAGUAUCCAACAAGAAUCCUUGUAGAGAGGGAUUUGAGUAGAGGAGUAAUCUAGGAGAGAUACCUAGAUGAGCAUUUGUGGAACCUAUCGGGAGAGUAGCUAGAUACCCGCGGGGGGUAAACUUGCAGAGUUCGGUAAUACCUUUUGAGUAUGAGUAGAGCAAGUGGAGUUAUCACCUAGAGUGGGUUAUACGUGAUCAUUCGAUGCUCGAAUGCUGCUUGCUUCCUGCUUUGUGGAAUUCCCGAUGAUGGGAGUCAGCUAUCAAGUGAAUGUGACGAUAUUUAAGAGGUAGAUGACUGGCAUCAGAAGGAGUUUCUCAGCAGCUGAUGGCAGAGAAGUGUGAGAACCUAGGAAGAGCCUAGGACGUGACCUUAGUUAGAUGAGUACGCUGACAUAGUGGAGCAAUUCGUUGGGGAGCGAGCAGCGCAUGUUGAGAUUGGUGACUGAGAAGGUUGAGCAGCUACUUAGGGAAUCUAGGAUGGUUCGUGCAGAGAGUAUGGGUAGAUGUGGCAGGUAGUAUGGGCCCGUACUACUGAAAGCAAAGGACCCAUACUGGAUGCAGGGAGGAUUCCAGAGGUUCUAAGUAGCAGAUCCAGAGGUGAUGUCACGGUUCGAGUACCAUGAUUGGUAGCAGAUCGAGAGGUGAUGUCAUGGUUCGAGUACCAUGAUUGGUAGCAGAUCGAGAGGUGAUGUCAUGGUUCGAGUACCAUGGUUGGUAACAGAUCGAGAGAUGAUGUCAUGGUUCGAGUACCAUGAUUGGUAGCAGAUCGAAAGGCGAUGUCAUGGUUCGAGUACCAUGAUUUGAGACAGAUUGAGAUGAGAGAACAUGGUUCGAGCACCAUGAUUCAUAAGCAAAUCAGGGGGUGGCCACAUGGUUCGAGUACCAUGAUAUGUGGCUGUUAGUGCUUCUAGUUUUACCGGUUAUUCCGUGGUGAGUGUCUAGACCGAUGUCAGAUGUGAAAGAGUAUGGUGCCAGAAGGCCAGGAUGAACGAAUUCUAGUGGAGCAACCCUUGAUAGGGAAAUCGAGUUAACUCCGAGAACUUGUUAAUGAUAUACCAGUAGAGUCGCAAGACUCAAGGUUGAGCAGGGAUGGUGCGUUAUGGAAGAAUAUGGUAUGGGCUGGGCAACCAGCCGAUAGUGGAGAUGUCACUUUCUGUGACCCAAGUGGUGUUAUUUCUGUUUCCUGUGGGAGACGUAAGAGGUGUUCAGAUUUCGGUUUGAGUUUGGGGGUAAGCCCCAUGGGAUUGCACUAGUAGUGAUCUUCAAUCAUAAAGUAUGGUAGUAUGUUUGCCACGAGGAAAAGAUAUAGCUUGAACAAGGCGUCAGUGGGGACUGAGUUGGUCAAGGACCAGGAUACACCCUACUUGAGUAUAGUAGGGCAUGUGUUAGCUGCAACGUCGGUCGAUCAAAAGGAGAUAUCAUAGCGGUGGCUCUUAUUAUCUUUGAUGUGUAUCGAGAGUGGUAAUCUGGGUUCUGCUCUUAUCAUAAGUGUCAUGAUGGAGCGUGGGUCGAGGAAUCGAGAAUGAGGAAGAUGAUAGUUCGCUAUUUCCAGACUAAGUGUCGGGAUUGAUAAUGGACAGUUAGACAUUCCGGUGUUGGGAUGUGUGGGAUUCUGAUUGACCAGAGGCGGUAGUGAUGGGAAGUUCUGAGGAUUUCAUAUGUGAUUCGGAGUAAUUGAUAUUGCUCGAUUUCUAUCGAGAAGGAUCAUCUAGCGUUGCAUAGCUCUUUCAAAGGGUAGGUGAAAUUUUGCUAAUGAAGACAAUCUGUGGGAUAGAUUCAUAGUACGCCAAUUGGCGAGGGUUCAAACCCUAAGUGGGGGAGAACUGGAUAUUUUCUAAGGGGAUCUGAGAUUUGUUCAAGGGCGAUCAGGGGACUAGUUAUAGUGAGCUAUGUGUCGGAUACAUAAAUUCAUGGUUAUUUGAUGAUUGGGAUGUGGUGCUAAGUGAGUUAAUGCAUGUUGCACGUGUUCAUGGAGGAAGGACUGUCUCCAUGGCAGGGACCGUGGGUUGGGGACCCUGUGGAAGUUAGAUAAGGAUAGUUAUGCGGUUGAGAAUCCCCGGUUUAGUGUAUGGGAGGCUAUGUACGCUCGGGGAAGGUAGAAAUUGAUUUUUGGCAACUAAUUCCGGGCCGUUACGAGUAUGCUUGCUUGAGUUUUGAGCAUUAUAGGAGGGAGUUCUGGAUUGUUGUCAACAUGUUCUGAGUCAUUGUCGAUCCCUCCAUUAAGAGUUGGAAUAUUCUGAAGUUGCACGUUCAGAGAAAGAAGGAUAGUUACGAGAUUCUGAGAGUAUGCAUUGAGGUAUCUGUAUAUGAUGCCAUAAGUAGGAGGUCAGUGGUUGAGACAGGACAUCGUGAUGUUCCGUGAUGGUGUUCCGAGGUAUCCGAGUAUAAUGCCCCGAAUUCAAAAUUAUUUUGGGUCUUGAGUUUGAGACGACAAGUGGAGUAGCAGGUACCUACGGUUCCAGUGGGAGCCCUUUGGGUAUUGACAUCUAGAGGGAUUAUCUAAGAGUGUGGAUUCCAGCAAGGAGGGAUGUUUGGUCUUGGUGGUUGCUGUCAGAAUCUAUGAUGCAUAAAUAGGGACAAGUGUGUGAGUACCUAUCUAUGCUAGUCCGCGGAGCAUGAGUUAGUGGAUGUAGUGUGGUGUUGACGUGAGAAGGAGAUUGUGGAUUAUGAGAGAAAGGGUGUUGUGAUGCUACGAGGAGCCGUAGUACUCACUAGUCAGAGAAAGGGUGUUGUGAUGCUACGGGGAGCCGUAGUACUCACUGGUCAGAGAAAGGGUGUUAUGAUGCUACGGGGAACCGUAGUACUCACUGGUCAGAGAAAGGGUGUUGUGAUGCUACGGGGAGCCGUAGUACUCACUGGUCAGAGAAAGGGUGUUGUGAUGCUACGGGGAGUCGUACUACUCACUAGUCAGAGAAAGGGUAUUGUGAUGCUACGGAGAGCCAUAGUACUCACUAGUCAGAGAGCGGGUGUGGUAAUGCUACACGGAGACGUAGUACUCGCUAGUUAGCAAGAGGUUCUUAUGAUGAAGUACUCUUUGAUCAGAGCAUGACGCAGAAGAGUUUAGGCUUGGGUAGCCCUAACCUAUGAGUUUUGGGAGCCUGGUGGUCGUAUCAGGGGCGAGACAGGGGCCUCCUUAACGAUCAGGAGUCGUUACAUUCUGAGUUAAGGUGUGGUUAUCGUAAUCAGAAGGAAUUUGGGAAGUGAUGUACGCAUGGGUUGCGGGUCAUGAGUCAUGAGUUGAGUGGUUCAUUGGAACGAGUGGUUCCAAUUCUAGGUCGGACAAGACACUCGAGCUGAGUUUGGCUCUAGUGGUGCAUUGAGUAGGCAAGAUGAGAUUCUGGAUUCUGAAGGGGUUCCAGGAUGAGGGGUAUUGUUUGUCAUCUGAUGUCUUAGGCCUAUGUAGGUCAGUACUCGGGUACGGGGGGUACCGCGAGCUUCAUAGAACUAUGAGAAGUAUACGUCAGAAGUUGGGGUUGAGCCGACCAUCAGUUGGGAGUGUAGUAUUCACUCGGGGGUAAGGCGAACUUCGUGACUUGUGUGUCACAAUGAGCCGGUGUAGUUAUUGUGAGAAGGGAAUUAUUAAGACAGUUAGAGUUAAUGCAAUGGAUGACCAUGGGGGUUUGACUGUUGGGCCGAGGUUAGAUCUGGUGCGCAGUGUUAAAGAGGGAUAUGGGAAUUGGAGCUGAGGCUUACGAUUGUGAUGUCUGAGAACACUUCCAAACGAGCUUGGUUAUUCCCUUGUGUCCGAGGGCAGAGUGUUAAGGAUUCUUUGUUCGGAUGGGUUCUGAUAGCGGUUUAGUGGAUAAGCCCUAGCGAGGUGUGGACCCUUCCGCUUCUUGGGGCGUGAUUCAGAUCUUUAGCAUGAUUGGUAUGAGUGAGCGGUACCUGAUUGUUGGGUUCUUGUGAAAAUUAGAGGAUCAGUGGGUUAUCGGGGUUGACAUUCGAGGAGCGAAUACCAUGGUGAUCGCUUGUGUAGGUGAUCUGGCGGCGGGUUAGGCCACUAGAGUUUCCAGAGAUUGGGAAGGAGUAUAUUAGCAGCCGGAGAGUUAGUUUAGUUUUGGACUUGGGAGUUUCUGUUUUGUUUCAGGUGUCCAUUGAGAAAGAUAUCGAUGUAGUAUGAGAUUCUGUCGGUGGUGUCUUUCGUGUUGAUGAUCUUUGUGUGGUUACAGAAUGAUAUCGAGGGUGAAAUCUAAUUCAAGUGGGGGAGAAUUGUAACAUCCGGAUUUUCAGGGUUAUUAUUUAAGUUAAUCUUAUGAUUUAAGGAAAGACUCGACGAGUUAAGGGUCAAACUCGCCGAGUCGAUUCGGGUUUCUCUCACGGGUUAUUGAGUGAACUCGACGUGUCAGAGGAGGGACUCGCCAAGUAGGCGCUAGGCAGAGGAACCCCAAUUUUCGGGGUUUGGGACCUAUUUAAAGGCACUUAUAGCCUCCUUGGCCCCUCCCCAUCAGAGUCUACGUCCCUUGAGAGAAACCCUAGGGUGAUUGGUGAUCUAGAGAAGAAAUUGGCUAAUUGGAGGUCAUUCCUUGGAAAGGAAGAGCAAGGGUCUUGCAAGGAUCUCAGAGGAGAGUUAGAGGAUCAGGUUCAUCUUCAUUGCAAGCUCCAGAUCUGGUACAAACUUUUCCCUUCUUUGUGUUUGUAUAGAUUUCCUUGGUUGAUUAAGUUAGGGCUUGAAUCACCAUUUAGAUAGGGUUGUGGGUGCAUCCAAACCCUUUUUCGAGUCAUGUGUAGAUCUGGACCUUGUGAGGUCCAGGGAACCAGAAAGUUGGCAGCCAUGAAAAAGUUGUUUGGGAGCCUUGAAGCUAUGGAGCUUCAAUGGAGUCCAAAUUGUGUAUUGAGAAAAAUACACCAUGCAUGAGCCUCAAGUUCAGACCUUUACGUGACUUUUGGGUAGUAGGAGGUUAGAUCUAUGAGUUUAGGUUGCAGAUCUGACCUCGGAUGGCUGAAUGAGCAAUCUGUUGGAGCCAACUCGCCGAGUCCAUGAGAUGACUCGACGAGUCGUAGCGGGUUUGACCGAGUAGCCUUAACCCAGUGUUGGAUCACCGAGUUAGGGGUCAACUCGACGAGCUGAGUGAGACCCGUGUAUAGUUCAGAUGAUGCAAGGGGACUCGACGAGUCGCAAGGAUGCAAUCGACGAGUAGGGUCGAGUGUGGACUGUUGACUUGAGUUGACUUUUAUUGACUUUGGAGUUUUGGUCAACAUAAGUAAUAGAGACCAUGGAGGGGUAAAAUGGUCUUUUACCCACUUCCCGAUUAGAGAGGGAAAAAGUAACUGUCGGUUUAAUUAGAGUUGAUAUUUCUAGUGUUAAUUAGAGAUAUUUGCCCUAUGUGUUAGGCGGUGGCGAGUUCGAGAUUCAAGUGUGAAGAUAACUGCUUUUUGCUUGUCAGGUGAGUCUUCUCACUAUACAUUACCUAGAGUGGUAUCUAUGUGUAGACCGGAGGGUCUUGUGUGCUAUGUGUAUGUCUAAGACUAUGUGCAUUAUGAUAUAUGUAUGCUAUGUGAUUGUGUAGACUGGACCGGAGGGUCCAACGAUAUAGACCGGACCGAAGGGUCCAACGAUACAGACUGGGCCGAAGGGUCCAACGAGCUAUGACAGGACCAGAGGGUCCAACGAGCUACGUGACUGGAGGGUCCCGCUAAGACACAUCGAUCGGAGGGUCGUACUAUAGUCUAUAGUGGCGUAUGUGGUAUUUUGGGGAACUCACUAAGCUUCGUGCUUACCGUGUUAUGUGUUAUGUGUUUCAGGUUUUUCUCAGGAUCAUGGGAUGACACCGGCUUGAUUAUACACACCAGAGGAAGAGUAAUGUUUUUGAGGAUCCUGGAUUAUUAUUUAAUUGAAUAUGUAGUUAUGUUUUGUAAUUUAAACAAAAUGAUGUUUUUACAAAAAAGUGUUUUAAGAAUUAAGCAAUUUUAAAUGAAAAUUUUUAGUUUGAAAAAUUACAGUGUUACAGAAAAAAUGUCAAGGUGAAUCGUAUAUAAUGCAACUUAGAGAUAUGAUCAAUGAAAAAAUGUCAAGGGUAAUAACUUUUUUUACUAAAAAAUAACAAUAUUAUGAUAUUAAGCAACAAAAUGGAUUGCUAUUUUUUCCAUCCAAACUAAGAGAUAUGAUCAAUGAAAGUGGUGAUGUGCUUUCAUAUUUUUUAUUUGCCAAUUUCCCAUUCUUUUAUUAAGACAUUGUAUUUCUAAACUAUAAACUUGUUUGAUUUUUGGUAUGAAUAAUACAUUUACUUUUUUCCUUUAGGACAUUGUAUUUUCAAAAUAUAACAAUGUAUAUCAUUACAGCCAGCUUGUCAUAGGAGUUCCUAAAAUAACAUAAUACCUCCUUAGCAUUUCUAGAUCUUACAUAUGGACCAUUUCCAUUUAUUCUACACUAAUACACAGGGGCCAUUUCUGUAAAUUUUUACAUUUCCUGCUAUCACACUUCUGUAAUUUUGUCUGUGCCCAACAAGAUGUAAGAACAUGGGGACUUAUUUUUGUAACUUUAGCAUCACACAGGGACAAUUUCUGUAACUUUUACAACUACUUUAAAUUAAAAGGAAUUAUAUAAGUACUUUUACAACUUUACCAUCACAUUAGUUGGACAUACAUAUCGGUUGUUUCAUAAUUUAAAUCACAUUUGUUCAAAAUUUCAUAUAUAUAUAUAUAUAGAGAGAGAGAGAGAGAGAGAGAGAGUUCCCGACAAAUGCCCUACAAUCUAGUUGCAAACGGAUCCAAUUAUCUCUCUUCUCAGGUGAAAGAGGCUUACUUUUUACUUUCAAAUAGUUAGAUCUUAUUGGUGCAUUACUUUAAGUACAUGAUAUUUAGGUACAACCUGCCCACAAAACCAGUUGGAAUUUGACUUUUUAUGCAUUGUUAUUUAAGUAUGACCGAACAACAAAACCAAUGAAAGUGCAACCUAACCACAAAACAAGUUGGAGUUUGACUUCUUUUAUGUUGUUAUUUAAGUAUGACCUAACUACAAAACCAAUGAAAGUACGACCUAACCACAAAGUCAUAUGGAAUUUGACUUCUCUAUACAUUGAUAUUUAAGUAUGACCUAACCACAAAACCAAUUGGAAUUUGACUUCUUUAUGCAUUGUUAUUUAAGUACGGCCUAACUACAAAACCAAUGAAAGUAUGACCUAACCACAAAAAAAAUUGGAAUUUGACUUCUUUAUGCAUUGUUAUUUAAGUACGACCUAACCACAAAACCAGUUGGAAUUUGACCUCUUUAUAUAUUGUUAUAUAAGUAUGACCUAACUACAAAACUAAUGAAAGUACGACCUAACCACAAAAGCAGUUAGGUUUUGACUUCUUUAUACAUUGUCAUUUAAGUAUAGCCUAAAUACAAAACCAAUGAAAGUAUGACCUAACCGCAAAACCAAUUUGAAUUUGAUUUCUUUAUGCGUUGUUAUUUAUGUACGACCUAACUACAAAACCAAUGAAAGUAUGACCUGACCACAAACUGGUUGGAAUUUGACUUCUUUAUGCAUUGUUAUUUAAGUACAACCUAACUACAAAACCAAUGAAAAUAUGACCUAACCACAAAACCAGUUGGAAUUUGACUUCUCUAUAUGUUGUUAUUCAAGUACAACCUAACAACAAAACCAAUUGCAUUUUGACUUCUUUAUACAUUGACAUUUAAGUACGGGUUAACUACAAAACCAAUGAAAGUACAACCUAACCACAAAACCAAUUGGAAUUUGACUUCUUUAUACAUUGUUAUUUAAGUAUGACCAAACUACAAAACCAAUGAAAGUGCGACCUAACCACAAAACCAAUUGGAAUUUGACUUCUUUACUCGUUGUUAUUUAAAUACGACCUAACCAUAAAACCAGUCGGAAUUUAACUUUUUUAUACAUUUUUAUUUAAGUAUGAUGUAACUACAAACCUAAUGAAAGUAAGACGUAACCACAAAAUCAAUCUUAGUAGAGAUUAAUAAGAAAACUGGAUCCUUAUGCAACUCGAUUAUAGGGGAUUUGACAGAACUACUAUAACUUGUGUGUGUAUUGAGUAUUUCACACAUACAUAAAGACCCAGAGACAGUGAUACACACUUCAGACUAAAUGUUUAAUUUUUUUUUCUCCAAACUAUAUCAAGACAAACGAAAAGCAUAAUAUAUAGUUACCUAGGGUUUGGUUUUCAAAACUAAGCAAGGAGGGGAUGGACCCCUAUUAAUAGCAUCUUCAACCACACUUUAUUUUUUGUAUGCAAAAUAAAGUUUAGAGUGGUUCAUCUCCAACCCCACGUUAACACCAUGUUCACGAGUUCAACUUAAUAAAUAAAAGAAGAAAAAUAGAUGGAAGUGAGAAGAAAGUAAAAAAAAAAAAUGGUGUUCUUGAGUUUCAUUAAUGGAAGGAAAUGAAAGGAAAACUUUCCCUCCAACUCGGGAGGACAAAAUACUAUUUUCUUGCACUUUCCUUUCACUUCUUUUCUCACUUUACUUUCUUUCCCAUCCUUUCCUUUUCUUUGCAAAAACUCAGGAACUAGGCGUAAAUUCUAUUUUACACUUUAAAAAUAGAGUUCAAAAGUAAAGUGUGUUAGAGAUCGUAUAAUUUACACUCCAAAUUUAGAGUGUAACCAGUCAUUUCUCAAUUGACAGAGUGCAAAACAAAGUUGGGUUGGAGCCUUUACUCUAUUUUACACUCUGAAUAAAAUGCUGUGGCAAAAAUAAAGUGGGAGAUGCUCUAAGUCACACACAUAGAUGUCACACCAUAAAAAUAUACAAACACCUGUGAGAGCUUCACAAUAAACAUUCACAAACAGGUGCUUUUAAUCCGUAUAUAACUCAAUCACAAAAGAUUUGGUAACAGUCUGGGUUGCGUACCUGGUUGCUAGAAGACAAUCUGGAGUGCAAAUUGCGUUUCAGUCCGUGUGUUGUUACAUAUGAGCAAAUAAACUGCAUUGUUAUAUUUAUCAAAUCAUCUUUUAGUUCUUAGACUGCAUUUAUGUUAUCACAUUUGUAAUCCUAUGGACUCAAAUCAGCCUCUUAUGGAAAAAAUAAAAAGAGGUAUUGAAAGUACCAAAUGUUAUUACAUUAUAAGAUAAAAAUCACAAAAAGAACAAAACAUAAUUGCAUGAUUAAAACUUCAAUUGAACGUAUUGUUUCAAUCAAAAUUAAAAUUCAAUAGUUUAGGGCAAUCACAAAAUGCCAUUAGUCCAUUCUUUUCUUGGUAUGUAAUUGACAAAUUGUAUGCAGCUUACAUUAUAGCCGACAAACUGUAUGCAGUUUCAGACUUUUAUUUUUUGCAAUCGAUUAAUGAGUUACAUGAAAAAAGAUUUACGCAGUUUCAGCAAAAUUCUAUGAAGUUUCAGACUUUUAUAAGUAGUCAAUACAGUCAAAACAAAUAUUAUAUAUAACUAGAAAAUAUUUAGAACGAAUCUGAUAAAACUUGUGUUUAAGUGCUUGAUUUUUAGCAAUGACUGAGAUGGGAUACUUACGAAUUUCCAGUUACCGUUGACAAUAAACUUACGAUCAUCUUCAAUUAAAAAACGCGGCUUGAAGAGAAAGGAAGCUUGAAAACUCUGAAUUUAUUAGGUAAAGUCUACGGCAGAUCACAGAUUGAAUACCUAAAAGGGGAGAGAGAUGACAGAAGGCAUUGACGACCUAAAAUAUCGGAGAGGUGGGAACCAGGAGAGAGAGAGGGGGGAAGGAGACAGACGACUAUGAGAGAGUCACUAAUUUAGGCAAUUUUUUUUUCUUUUCUCCACAACUUUAG